rnacentral:lncRNA from 1 species
UUGAAAUGUAGCAUCUAAUUGUGAUAUAUAAAAUUAAAAAUUUCUCUAGAAAGAAUGGAGCGAGUGGCAAGUCUCAAUCAUUAAGUUAAUAUAUUUGGCAGAUUACUUUUCUUUGUUAAGUUGGGGACAGGAAGAACAAUCUUCUUAAUAACUAGAGAUUGCUAACAAUGAAAAAGAAAAUGUAGAGUGAUAAAUCUGAAUUAAAAAUUUUAGUUAUUUUAGAAGAAAAUUAAAUAAAUUGUCUACAACAGCUGUAAU